rnacentral:lncRNA from 1 species
UUCAUGUCAUUGAUCCUUAAUUGAUAGUUUAGAUAUGAUCCAAAGUAUGUUUUGAAGAUUAAAAUAUUUAAUCUUUUAUUUUCUGCUAUAAAAUUUUAAAAAUACAUAUUUUGAACUACUAGUUUUCAUCUCAGAUAAGAAUACCGAUGUGAGUUUUGAAAAUCGAUCUCAUCAGAAGGCCGACCUCAUAAAAAGAUGGACCUCAUCAGAAAGUUAAGAUUAUCAGAAAGCCA